rnacentral:lncRNA from 1 species
AAUGAUACACAAAUUCUAGAAUCUCUCCAUCAUUCAAGUUGGGCAUACCAGAUACCCUGGAUUUUCACAUCCUUGGGGACCUUUGCACCGAGAUCAGUAUCAGAUGGCUGGAUGCUCUCAAAUACUCCAAUGACCUCACCGGUCUCUGGCUUGCACUGGGUAACACUCAGGGUGAUCUUUCCUGUAGAAGAUGCAGUAUUCUUUACGUUCUCCUUCUCAAGCUCCUCCUCGUCUCCUCUCCCUCCAGCAGGCAAUGCAACAGCGUUGUCAUAGCCAGUAGAUCCACCCCGUCCCUUUGGGUCAAGGAAGGAUGAACCUCUGUAUGAUGGCACAAGGAAUUCACCGCUAAAGCUUUCUGGUUUGCCGCUUGCCACUAGCUGUUUGAUAGUGAAGAGGAAGGGCACACGCUCACCACCAGGAAGCUGAACUGUAACAGCAGCAUAAUCAAUUCCAUCCUUCUCCUCAAACUUAACAGUGCCAUCAGAAGACACUUCGAAUGGUCCCUCAAUCUCAUCAAGGGUGUAGGUUAAGCGUGUCAUGAGCUUGGUUUUCUGGAAAUCUGGGGGUGCAUUCUUGUUCACACUCUCUGCCUUGACUGUGAAUGAUGUGGGCUCUAAGCAGAAU